CUUUCUCAUUUUUGCCAUCUAAUUAUAAAAUAAAUCAAUUUGAAUAUAAAUAUUGUACUUACAUUUCAGCACAUAGUAUUUAUAGCAGUCAUUUAGACAAGUCGUAUGAAAUUUUAGUUCGUACUGACUUCGCUAGUGCUUUUUACAUAGCCUGUUGUAAAACUAGGCAAAUAUCUAGAUGAGUUGAUGUACCCCCUGGAAGACCCCUGCAUACCACUGGUUGGAACCAUUGACUUAGGGUAUGUCUAAACUGCAACGUAAACCUGGGAUCAGACUAAGGUGUGAGCCCAAAAUCUCUUUCUGUCUAUACACAAAUCUCUCAGACUCGGGCUUGGACCUAGGGACCUAGGACCCAAUGGGGCUGGAGGAUCUGAGCCCCAGUCAAGCUGUGACCAAGGGUUCAAGUCCUAUUGCUUUGCAGUGUAGACACAGCCUCCGCCUCCCCCUCCCCCCCGACUUGGGUCCUGGAAGUCCACCAGAAGUAUCCCACAAUCCCAUGGGCCAACUUCCUUUGUCCUUUCUAUCCCAAGAAUCUCCAGUCGACUCCAGUGAAAACAGGAGCAACUCCCCUUGGUGUACAGCAGCAGCUCAGUGAGUCAACGUUAACCCUUCCUUUGUCUUCUGACCACUCAGCUGCAAAUGCACCGUCAGAGAGCCUUCUGUGUUUGCAGGGAAGACUGAACAGCAUGUUGCUUCACGGUCGUGGGAGAUUUUGGUAAAUCUCUGGUGCAAGGCCAGCAAAACUGUGGACUUUAGUGAGAGUACUAGGAAUGACGACGCAUAUGCAAAUAGCGAAGCAGCUGGCAGCUUUGCACAUUUACCAGACUGGUGGCCAGUGCAGGGAGCAGAUGGAGCAGCUCAAAAGUGAGUAUCGGAAAACCAGGGACCAGAACCGCUCCUCAGGCAACUUGCCGACGACAUGUCAGUUUUAUGAGGAGUUUGACCAGCUGCUGGGCACAAUGGUGGCGGCGGCGAUGACGAGCUGCUCAGCUGGUCCCCUGCUGGCCUCAGAAUCCAGCAUGGGGACUGAUGGGAGCCAGCAGCAGGCACCAAGGGAGGACAGUGGACUCACUCUGUCACUGGAACCAGUCCCAAAGCAGGUUUGGAGCAGGAGCAGCAGCAACACAUUCUGGGCCUACACUUGAAGGAGCCAUUUGAUGUUCCCCAGAGAAACCGCCUGCUGCAGAGCUGAUAGAAGCCACCCCUGAGCCUGGCCCCUUGACUUCUACUGAUUGCAGCAUCUCCACAGCUAGUCCACAUGGCAGCAGAAGCCUGGGCCAACGGACCUUCAUGGACUAUUCCAAGAGGAAGCGUUUCCAUGAUGAACUUGUGGUUGAAGUUCUGGAGAGGGCCAACAAACAGAUCCUGUAUCAAAGACGGAGGGAUUUGUGGCUAGAGGAAAGGCCUGGCAAGAGCCGGAGGAAAGGCUCAGGAUGGCCGCACAUCUUGAGGACAGGGUUUCAGUGCAAUAGCAGGCACUUGCUUUGUAGUUCCUGGAACAGGAAUGGCAGCCAAGGGAGAAAGACCGAGCUCAGCAGAAACAACAGUUUGAGCGGCUCCUGCCACUAAUGACUGCAAGAGUAGUGGCUCCUGCUGCAUCACCCACACCACAACCUGAGUGCCCUGCAUGCUGCCUACCCUGUGCUGCAGUCCAGAAGCAGCUUGGAAGACUCCCAAGGCUGAAAGAAGAACAGGAGUAUUUGUGGCGCUUUAGAGACUAACAAAUUUAUUAGAGUAUAAGCUUUCGUGGGCUACAGCCCACUUCUUCGGAUGCAUCCGAAAGCUUAUGCUCUAAUAAAUUUGUUAGUCUCUAAAGUGCCACAAGGACUCCUGUUCUUUUUGCGGAUACAGACUAACACGGCUGCUACUCUGAAACCUCCCAAGGCUGAGUGGUACAUGCAGUCAGGGCCCAUGAGCGGCUGGACAGGGCAACCUUGCCCCAUGCAGCCCUCCAUAUUGACCCUCUCCCCUGUGGAUGCCUCCACCCCACUUCCUACAGUGCUAAAUGCAUGGCAAAUGGGGAAAGAAGGAAAAGGAGAAACGGGUUGCCAGGGGACGUGCCAUGGUAGGGGGUUUCUGUCUUCCACAUGGCUUCACUGUUUGUACUGUUUAUAUGCACUUUGUUUUUAUUUUUUUUUCCCCUGUAAGAUUCUGUCAUUACUGGUGUUUUGGUGUAGUAAUUGGGGCUGACCUGCCUGGGAAUGGAUGAAUAUUGUACUUUUCUAAUACAUGUUUAUAAAUAAAGCUUUUUAUUUAUUCAGGAA